rnacentral:rRNA from 1 species
AUUGAACGCUGGCGGCAGGCCUAACACAUGCAAGUCGAACGAGUGGCGGACGGGUGAGUACUGUCUGGGACACUGCCUGAUGGAGGGGGAUAACUACUGGAAACGGUAGCUACUACCGCAUACCAUCAGAUUUUCCCAGAUGGGAUUAGCUUUUUGGUGGGGUAACGGCUCACCAAGGCGACGAUCCCUAGCUGGUCUGAGAGGAUGACCAGCCACACUGGAACUGAGACAAGGUACAGACUCGUACGGGAGGCAGCAGUGGGGAAUAUUGCACAAUGGGCGAAAGCCUGAUGCAGACAUGCAGCGUGUAUGAAGAAGGCCUUCGGGUUGUAAAGGACUUUCAGCGGGGAGGCGGUACCCGCAGAAGAAGCACCGGCUAACUCCGUGCCAGCAGCCGCGGUAAUUC